UGACAAACCUGGCCUUAUUGAGCAGGACUUGCUGAUGCUUUUUGGAGAGGAGGCAUCAGGGAAGUCCUUAGCCAGAUGGCCAACGUUUUUCAGACCACAUAUCACUGAAGAUGCUAAGGGGCUAGUACCAACUCUACAUGUUGAGGAGCUCCUUAACUCUGCACAAGGAAAUGAUGGUGGUUGGUGCAAGCAUUCAAAUCUUCUUGACCAGUCUCGAACCGUCUCAG